rnacentral:rRNA from 1 species
GCGGCGGCGUGCUUAACACAUGCAAGUCGAGCGGAAAGGCCCUUCGGGGUACUCGAGCGGCGAACGGGUGAGUAACACGUGAGUAACCUGCCCUGACUCUGGGAUAAGCCCGGGAAACUGGGUCUAAUACCGGAUACGACACCUCCUGGCAUCGGGUGGGUGUGGAAAGUUUUUCGGUUGGGGAUGGACUCGCGGCCUAUCAGCUUGUUGGUGGGUAACGGCCUACCAAGGCGACGACGGGUAGCCGGCCUGAGAGGGCGACCGGCCACACUGGGACUGAGACACGGCCCAGACUCCUACGGGAGGCAGCAGUGGGGAAUAUUGCGCAAUGGGCGAAAGCCUGACGCAGCGACGCCGCGUGGGGGAUGACGGCCUUCGGGUUGUAAACCUCUUUCAGCAGGGACGAAGUUGACGUGUACCUGCAGAAGAAGCGCCGGCUAACUACGUGCCAGCAGCCGCGGUAAUACGUAGGGCGCAAGCGUUGUCCGGAAUUAUUGGGCGUAAAGAGCUCGUAGGUGGCUUGUCACGUCGGGUGUGAAAGCUUGGGGCUUAACUCCAGGUCUGCAUUCGAUACGGGCUGGCUAGAGGUAGGUAGGGGAGAACGGAAUUCCUGGUGUAGCGGUGAAAUGCGCAGAUAUCAGGAGGAACACCGGUGGCGAAGGCGGUUCUCUGGGCCUUACCUGACGCUGAGGAGCGAAAGCGUGGGGAGCGAACAGGAUUAGAUACCCUGGUAGUCCACGCUGUAAACGUUGGGCGCUAGGUGUGGGACCUUCCACGGUUCCGCGCCGUAGCUAACGCAUUAAGCGCCCGCCUGGGGAGUACGGCCGCAAGGCUAAAACUCAAGGAAUUGACGGGGGCCCGCACAAGCGGCGGAGAUGUUGCUUAAUUCGACGCAACGCGAAGAACCUUACCAAGGCUUGACAUCGCCGGAAAGCUUCAGAGAUGGAGCCCUCUUCGGACUGGGUGACAGGUGGUGCAUGGCUGUCGUCAGCUCUGUCGUGAGAUGUUGGGUUAAGUCCCGCAACGAGCGCAACCCUUGUUCAAUGUUGCCAGCACGCUCCUUCGGGGUGGUGGGGACUCAUUGGAGACUGCCGGGGUCAACUCGGAGGAAGGUGGGAUGACGUCAAGUCAUCAUGCCCUUAUGUCUUGGGCUGCAAACAUGCUACAAUGGCCGGUACAGAGGGUUGCGAUACCGUGAGGUGGAGCGAAUCCCUAAAAGCCGGUCUCAGUUCG